rnacentral:rRNA from 1 species
UUGCUUGCAAUCCUGAGUAGAGUGGCGCACGGGUGAGUAACACGUAGAUAAUCUACCUCCAAGCCCGGGAUAACUAUUCGAAAGGAUGGCUAAUACCGGAUGAAGUUUAUAUCCAAAAGGAUAUAAAUGAAAGAUUGCCUCUUCUUGAAAGCAAUUGUUUGGAGAUGAGUUUGCGGACCAUUAGUUUGUUGGUGGGGUAAAGGCCUACCAAGACUACGAUGGUUAGCUGGUCUGAGAGGAUGAUCAGCCACACUGGAACUGGUACACGGUCCAGACUCCUACGGGAGGCAGCAGUGAGGAAUUUUGCGCAAUGGGGGCAACCCUGACGCAGCAACGCCGCGUGAGUGAAGAAGGCCUUUGGGUCGUAAAGCUCUGUCGACAGGGAAGAAAUUACAAUCAUCCAAUAGGUGUUUGUAUUGACGGUACCUGUAGAGGAAGCACCGGCUAACUCCGUGCCAGCAGCCGCGGUAAUACGGGGGGUGCAAGCGUUAUUCGGAAUUAUUGGGCGUAAAGGGCGCGUAGGCGGUCUUGUCGGUCAGAUGUGAAAGCCCAGGGCUCAACCUUGGACGUGCAUUUGAAACAGCAAGACUUGAGUACGGGAGAGGAAAGCGGAAUUCCUGGUGUAGAGGUGAAAUUCGUAUAUAUCAGGAGGAACACCGAUGGCGAAGGCAGCUUUCUGGACCGAUACUGACGCUGAGGCGCGAAGGCGUGGGUAGCGAACGGGAUUAGAUACCCCGGUAGUCCACGCAGUAAACGAUGUACACUAUGUGUAGCGGGUAUUAAAAUCUGCUGCGCCGGAGCUAACGUGUUAAGUGUACCGCCUG